rnacentral:rRNA from 1 species
UACGGGGGGAGCAAGCGUUGUUCGGAUUUACUGGGCGUAAAGGGCGCGUAGGCGGUCAGCACAAGUCAGUUGUGAAAUCUCCGGGCUUAACCCGGAAAGGUCAACUGAUACUGUGCGACUAGAGUGCGGAAGGGGCAACUGGAAUUCUCGGUGUAGCGGUGAAAUGCGUAGAUAUCGAGAGGAACACCAGUGGCGAAGGCGAGUCCCUGGACAGAUCCUGACGCUGAGGCACGAAAGCUAGGGGAGCAAACAGG